ACGUAGGGGGCGAGCGUUGUCCGGAAUGACUGGGCGUAAAGGGCGCGUAGACGGCUGUCUAAGUCUGGAGUGAAAGUCCUGCUUUCAAGGUGGGAAUUGCUUUGGAGACUGGAUGGCUUGAGUGCGGAAGAGGUAAGUGGAAUUCCCAGUGUAGCAGUGAAAUGCGUGGAGAUUGGGAGGAGGACCGAUGGCGAGGGCAGCUUACUGGGAGAUAACUGACGAUGAUGCACGUAAGUGUGGGUAGCAAACAG
rnacentral:rRNA from 1 species